AACGAACGCUGGCGGCAGGCUUAACACAUGCAAGUCGAGCGCCCCGAAAGGGGAGCGGCAGACGGGUGAGUAACGCGUGGGAAUGUGCCCUUUGGUCUGGAAUAACUCAGGGAAACUUGAGCUAAUACCGGAUAAGCCCUUCGGGGGAAAGAUUUAUUGCCAUUGGAGCAGCCCGCGUCAGAUUAGCUAGUUGGUGAGGUAAAAGCUCACCAAGGCGAUGAUCUGUAGCUGGUCUGAGAGGACGACCAGCCACACUAGGACUGAGACACGGCCCAGACGCCUGCGGGGGGCAGCAGGGGGGAAUAUUGGACAAUGGGGGCAACCCUGAUCCAGCCAUGCCGCGUGAGUGAUGAAGGCCUUAGGGUUGUAAAGCUCUUUUACUCGGGAAGAUAAUGACUGUACCGAGAGAAUAAGCCCCGGCUAACUUCGUGCCAGCCGCAGCCGUAA
rnacentral:rRNA from 1 species